GCCGCUGUAUAGCAGUGGUUAGCUUGUCGCCCUCCGAUAUUCUCAGAGGCAGGCGGAGGUGAGCAGAUCCCAUCCGUGACGGACACGUCCCCCAGGUUUACGAUCUCGAUGGCUAAAAUAUGGUGAUUUGAUGCAAUUAGACCCGGGUUCGAAUCCCGGCAGCGGUG